rnacentral:lncRNA from 1 species
GUUGCAAAAGAUAAGAGUGUGAUGGAAUCCCGUAUGGGACAGAUAUGUGGAUUUAGUAAAGGUGACAUAACAAAAAUAAAUAUAGUGUAUAACUGCCCGCAAAAGACUGCCGACCUAAACCUUCAAGAUGAUGUUCUGUACGGGGUGGAUAUAUCAACUGUAGAAGUAAAAUAUGAAAUUUUAGAUAAAUGUGAGGUAUGCUGAGAACUAAUCUUUUAGAUUCUAGUUUAAGCUAAUUGGUUUAUAAUAAUUAAGGAAUCUCAUUGAUGCCAUUUUAAAUAAUGGAAUUUGUAUUUUCUGCUGAAGAAUUUGCACAAACAUUGUACCUUCACAGCACCCUCUACGAAUUUUCAAAAAUGUAGUUCAAAUGGUUACUAAGAGGAACCUACAAAUCCACUGACUUUAAAUAGGUACCGAAAAAGUAAUUUCAAACUAAUACAAUUUUCUGUAUCUCUUGAUCAACUUACUGGAUUUUGAUCUUCCUUUUUUUAAUCAGUAUGUAAUUUCUACGUACAUUACAAAUAUGCAAUUUGUUUAUAAAUUUAUUAAUUAAUAAACAGUCGAAUUUGUUUAAACCAUUCUUGAAAAUAUAUAUUUUCUCAAAA